rnacentral:rRNA from 1 species
CUUUCCUAUAACUUAACAUUGGGUCACGUUUUCAGGUGUGCAGAAUAGGUGGGAGACUGUGAAGUAGGCGCGUCAGCGCUUAUGGAGUCACCUUUGAGAUACCACCCUUCUGGAAAUGUGAUCCUAACCCGUAAUUCGGGAACAGUGUUCGGUGGGUAGUUUAACUGGGGCGGUUGCCUCCUAAAUUGUAACGGAGGCGCGCAAUGGUUGGUUAGCAUCGGAUGGAAAUCGGUGUGAUAGUGUAUUCGCAUAAACCAGCCUGACUGAGAGACCUACAAGUCGAUCAGACACGAAAGUGGGCGAAAGUGAUCCGGCACUAAUGUGUGGAAAUGGUGUCGCUCAACGGAUAAAAGUUA